ACACUUACCUGGCAGGGGAGAUACCAUGAUGACUAAGGUGAUUCUCCCAGGAUGACGCUAUCCCAUUGCACUUCAGGUGUGCUGACGCCUGCAAUGGUCCUCAAAUGUGGGAUACUCGACUGCAAAAUUUGUGGCAGUGGGGGACUGCGUUCGCGCAAUUAUUUU